rnacentral:rRNA from 1 species
AUACGGAGGACGCGAGCGUUAUCCGGAUUCAUUGGGUUUAAAGGGUGCGCAGGCGGCCGUGCAAGUCAGCGGUGAAAGCCCGGGGCUCAACCCCGGAAGUGCCGUUGAUACUGCAUGGCUGGAAUGCGGUCGAGGCGGGCGGGACGUGGCGUGUAGCGGUGAAAUGCGUAGAUAUGCCACAGAACGCCGAUAGCGGAGGCAGCUCGCCAGGCCUGCAUUGACGCUCGGGCACGAAAGCGUGGGGAUCGAACAGGAUUAGAUACCCUGGUAGUCCACGCCGUAAACGAUGGGCGCUCGUCGUCGGCGGCAGACAGUCGGCGGCCAAGCGAAAGCGAUAAGCGCCCCACCUGGGGAGUACAGUCGCAAGGCUGAAACUCAAAGGAAUUGACGGGG